CAUGAUAGUUCCCACAGGCAUACAAGGCAUGAAGUUUCUUAUAAAAUUAUGAUGUGAUUAAUUUUUCUCAUAUUUCUAGCUUUUUCUUCAUAUAUUAAGAUCCUCUAACAUGUUUUUAUAAAUGUUUAUGACUUUAUGGGGGUGUUUUUAUAUUAUUUUAUAUUAUACAUAUAAAAGUAUUCACCUUGAAUUUAAUAUUGUGACUAUAUUUGCAGUAAUAUUUGUCUAAGAAAUCUCUCACCAUUUGCUUUUAUGUUCAAAAUUUCUGCUUGAAGAUAUACCCCAGCUAUGGAUUAAGUAUUUUUAAAGCAAUUAGAAAUUUUUUCACUUUUAUAGAGGAGUGUAAACCAUCCAUGCUUAGUUUUACUUUUUCCAUAUGUUUUCCUGUGCGUUGUUUGUAUUUUGUUAUCGUUUUGUUUUCUGCCUUUUGGAAUAUGGAUUUUUUCCCUUCAGUGGUUAUUUAGUAAUUUUAAAACUGUAUUAUGUUUUAAAUUAAUCAUGAAUUUUAAAAUAAAUAUUUCUCUAUCAAAUUAAGGAGAAAUCCACAAGAUGAGGAACCUAGCAAGUCAUUAUUCCUCCUACACUUUAUUUUCCCGGUAUUUUUAACAUACUAUAGAGACUUUUGGAUUCAGAACAUUAUGAAGAUUCCAUAUCUUCUGCAAUAGUCAUUUUUAGCAUUGAUAUUGCUUUUUGUGUGUGUCUUUUCUAGGGCCACUCCCACAGCAUAUGGAGGUUCCCAGGCUAGGGGUCUAAUAGGAGUUGUAGCCACCGGCCUAUGCUCGUGCCACAGCAAUGCGGGAUCCAUUGUGCUUGGGAGAUGAUUGGUCCAUCUGGAACAGCCUGUUUCAGUGAGCUAUUGUUACAUUAACAAAAUGCUCUACUGUUUAGAGAUUUAAAACAAUAAGCAUUUAAUUAUUACUCAGGCGCCUAUGGAUCAGCUGGGUAGUUCUCUUUUUUUUUUUUUAAUUUUUUUUGCUUUUUACUUUAUUUUUUUAGGGUUGUUCCUGCAGCAUAUGGAAGUUUCCAGGUUAGGGUCAGAUUAAAGGUGCAGCUGCUGGCCUACACCAUACCCACAGCAAUGCAGGAUUCAAGUCAUGUCUGUGACCUACAACACACCUCAUGGCAACCCUGGGUCCUUAAUCCACUGAGUGAGGCCAGGGAUCAAACCUGCAUCCUCAUGGAUACUAGUCAGGGUCAUAACCCACUGAGCCACAAUGGGAACUCCUCGGUACUUCUGAUGAUAGGAGCUAGACUUGGCUGCUCUUCUUUAGAAUUGCUCAUGUGAUGGAAAUCACCUAGUGAAUUCACUGACAGAUGGCUUCAGGUAGGAUAAUCUUCCUCUGGUGCACAUUUUUCAGUUGGCUAGCUUGGGCUUAUUCACAAGGUGAUGAUGGAGAAUCAGGGAAGAGAAUAGAAGGACACAAGACCUCCUGAGGCCUGGCAUAUUUUCACUUAUACCACAUUUUUAUUGGUCAGAGACACAUUUUAUUGGACAGAAACAUCUCAGAUUCAGGGAUAUCAUAUUGUCACUUAUACCACGUUUUUCUUGGUCAGAGACAUCUUUUAUUGGGACAUCUCAAAUUGAGUGAUGGAGAAAUGGAAUAUACCUAUGGAUAAGAGGAGUGGCAAAGUGUGCGGAUUUGAAGUGGAUGAAUAUUUGGAGACAUUUUUACAAAAUAAUCUGCCAUGAUACCCAAGUGGUCUAUCAAAUUAGGAAUUUUCUUCAGUUUUGUCUGUGGUUAUAAUUUCUUUUCAAUUAUAUUUUUUGUUAUUGUGUCACAUUCAGAGACUAUAACUUAGUUUAAAUCUUUGAUCUCUAUUCUGCAUAUCCAUCAUCUUUUUUUCUUUUUUCUUACUAGUCAUGUCCUUCCCUUUUCUUUUUGUUCUACAUGCUAGGAAAAUUUUUCAAAAUCAUUUUGGUCACUUCCUUAGAUUUUCUGGGUGACAGUACUGUUCUUUACUACAUCUAAAUAGUUAUUCGAAGUUUUGAAUUGCAUUUUUUAUGUCUUUGCAAUUCUUUCUUGACUAAUUUAUUUUUCUCUCAUCCUAUUUUGCAUGUUUCUUCGCAUUUCUCUCAUAAAUUUUCUUUUUUUUCCUCCGCGAGUCAUAGAUGAUAUUAAGUUUUAAUUCGGUUGCCAACAUGUAAUAAUUAAGAGAUUUAUUAGAAAUCCUGAAUUCCAGCUCUUUUGAAGUGAGGGAUCUGGUAACAAUACGUCUCAGAUCCUGGUUGCAACAACAGGCUGUGACUUCUCCCUUUAGAUAGAAUAUUUGAAUCCAGUUCGCUACAAACUCUACCCUCCCUGACCCUGAGACUAAAUUGUACUUUAUCAUUAUACUCAUGAUUUUUUUAUCUUAUGCUAGUGUUAAAUAGGAAAUAAAAUAUUCUUGAUGCCUAUUCUAGAUACUUAUGUCCAUCAAAAGGUGAGAGGGGAAUGAAAGAGUGAAAGGGCUGCUUGUUUAAGAAAAAUAUUAUAGUGUACACUGUUUAUGUGGCUGUGAAGAAUGUUUCUACAUGCAUCAUAUGCAAACAAAGCCUGUCAGUCCUGAAAGAGCUCCAAUUAGACCCUUGCCUGGGAACCUGCACAUGCCGUGGGAUCCAAGCCGCAUCUGCAAACUACACCACAGCUCAUGGCAAUGCUGGAUCCUUAACCCACUGAGCAAGGCCAGGGAUCGAACCUGCAACCUCAUGGUUCCUAGUCAGGUUCGUUAACCACUGAGCCACGAUGGAAACUCCCCUGAUACUGCUUUUGGAUCCAAAAAUUACAGAGUUCCUGCUGUGGCACAGUGGGUUAAGGAUCUGACUGUAGCAGCUUAGGUCAUUGUAGAGGUGCAGGUUCAAUCCCUGCCUUGAUGCAGUAGGUUAAAAGAUCUGGUGUUGCCACAGCCAUAGUGUAGGUUGCAUCCGCGGCUCAGAUCCAGUCCCUGGCAUAGGGACUUCCAUAUAGUAUGGGUGAAGCCAAAAAAAAUUUAUAAUCAUUUGUUAUGAGUCACUCUUAAGACAUUGUCUAUGCUGAUUGCCAGUUUUAUGCCAUGACUUUUCCAUUAUUGAUGUUCUUAUUAAAUUGGGAUUGAAUUUUAAUUUUCAAGGAUCUUUUAAGCAUUAGAUUCUGUACAUAAAGUACAAACAUAGUGCCUGGCACAGAAACAAUCAUUUAAUAAAAAUAAUAUUAUUUUCUUAUUUUGGGGGGAUGUGAAGGGGCAUUUUAAAUUAGUAAAAUAAUAGCCUUUAAAAAGAGUAGCAGAGUUCCCGUCAUGGCUCAACAGUAACAAACCUAACUAGUAUACAUAAGGAAGCAGUUUCCAUCUUGGCCUUUCUCAUGGGCUAAUUAAGGAUCCAGUGUUGCCGUGAGCUCUGGUAUAGCCUGCAGAUGUGGCUCAGAUCCCACAUUGCUGUGGUUGUGGUUUAGGCCCGCAGCUAUAGCUCUGAUUUGACCCCUAGCUUGGGAACUUCCAUAUGCCCUAGAUGCAGCCUUAAAAAGACAGACAAAAAAAAAAAAAAAAAA
rnacentral:lncRNA from 1 species